UACGAAGGGGGCUAGCGUUGUUCGGAAUUACUGGGCGUAAAGGGCGCGUAGGCGGUUAGACAAGUCAGGCGUGAAAGCCCCGGGCUCAACCCGGGAAUAGCGUUUGAGACUGUCUUUCUAGAGUUCGGGAGAGGUAAGUGGAAUUCCCAGUGUAGCAGUGAAAUGCGUAGAUAUUGGGAAGAACACCAGUGGCGAAGGCGGCUUACUGGACCGAUACUGACGCUGAGGCGCGAAAGCGUGGGGAGCAAACAGG
rnacentral:rRNA from 1 species